GGGAGCCUCCUGGCUUGCAGUCCUGAGCUCUAACCAUCUAAUCUCCCAGCCCAGAGGAAACUGCGGUGUCCCUUUGGGCCCUCGGCCCCUUGUAGCAGGAUGACGACUUCUGCUCUCUGCUGGGCUUGGUGUAGAUUCACGUGGGAAAGCUGGAGAAGAAAUGCCAGUUCACUGGAGCAGCACUGGAAGUGCCAGGCCAGCUUUCGGUCUCAUGGUUUCCAGACUUGUUUCCAGCUGGGGAAAGGAGGAGCAGUGAUAAUGUGGUGGGCUAGAUCCUCUCAGGAGACUCAGCUGUCUUGAAAGGCCGUUCUGCUUCCCGUUGUUUAUUAUUGUUGGACGGUGAAGGGACAGCUGCUAUGCUACAUCCUAGAGGUAGCUGCACGUCCAGGGCUGCAUGAAGUGAUGGCUGAAAAUGCCAGCUUGGCAGCUCUUCUGGCCCUCCUUGGGGCAGGCCCUUGCCCCCUGCUUCUGCUGUGGCUUUGUUCUGUGAGACAAGAGCAAAACAUUUUGUAGCUGCUAUUGAAAGGAGUUUCUCAACCUUUUAGGAUAAUCCCUGUUUUAAA